GACGAACGCUGGCGGCGUGCCUAACACAUGCAAGUCGAGCGGAGUUAGUUUGUAGCUUGCUACAAACUAACUUAGCGGCGGACGGGUGAGUAACGCGUGGAUAACCUGCCUUUUACAGGGGGAUAACACAGGGAAACUUGUGCUAAUACCGCAUAACAUAUAGAAGUGGCAUCACUUUUAUAUCAAAGGAGCAAUUCGGUAGGAGAUGGAUCCGCGUCCGAUUAGCUAGUUGGCGGGGUAAAGGCCCACUAAGGCGACGAUCGGUAGCCGAACUGAGAGGUUGAUCGGCCACAUUGGGACUGAGACACGGCCCAGACUCCUACGGGAGGCAGCAGUGGGGAAUAUUGCGCAAUGGGGGAAACCCUGACGCAGCAACGCCGCGUGAAGGAUGAAGGCUUUCGGGUUGUAAACUUCUUUAGUCGGGGACGAAAAAAUGACGGUACCCGAAGAAUAAGCCACGGCUAACUACGUGCCAGCCGCCGCGGUAA
rnacentral:rRNA from 1 species